rnacentral:rRNA from 1 species
ACGAACGCUGGCGGCGUGCUUAACACAUGCAAGUCGAACGAAAAGAGGGAAAGAGCUUGCUCUUUCCGGAAUUGAGUGGCAAACGGGUGAGUAACACGUAAACAACCUGCCUUCAGGAUGGGGACAACAGACGGAAACGACUGCUAAUACCGAAUAAGUUCCAAGAGCCGCAUGGCCCAUGGAAGAAAAGGUGGCCUCUACCUGUAAGCUAUCGCCUGAAGAGGGGUUUGCGUCUGAUUAGCUGGUUGGAGGGGUAACGGCCCACCAAGGCGACGAUCAGUAGCCGGUCUGAGAGGAUGAACGGCCACACUGGAACUGAGACACGGUCCAGACUCCUACGGGAGGCAGCAGUGGGGAAUCUUCCGCAAUAGGCGAAAGCCUGACGGAGCAACGCCGCGUGAGUGAUGACGGCCUUCGGGUUGUAAAACUCUGUGAUCCGGGACGAAAAGGCAGAGUGCGAAGAACAAACUGCAUUGACGGUACCGGAAAAGCAAGCCACGGCUAACUACGUG